UACGUAGGGUGCGAGCGUUAAUCGGAAUUACUGGGCGUAAAGUGUGCGCGGGCGGCCGAGCAAGUCGAGUGUGAAAGCCCCGAGCUUAACUUGGGAAUUGCGCUCGAAACUACUUGGCUGGAGUGUGGCAGAGGAAGGUGGAAUUCCAGGUGUAGCGGUGAAAUGCGUAGAGAUCUGGAGGAACACCGAUGGCGAAGGCAGCCUUCUGGGCCAACACUGACGCUCAUGCACGAAAGCGUGGGGAGCGAACCGG
rnacentral:rRNA from 1 species